rnacentral:lncRNA from 1 species
UGCGACCACCGUUCCAUUCGCCAUCGGCUGUGACAUUGUCGAGGAUUCGCAGGCCUCCCCUGUAGCUCUCUCUGGUUUUUCCAUUGUGACGCAUAUGGUAAGAUUUUUAAACCAAUUUCAUCACUGUUUCCAUGCAUAGUUAACAAGAUGUGAAACUGGACUUCAUGGAAUUGAUUUCUUUGGUGAUUAAGCUGAUUUCCCCUAAUUGAUUCUAGCAUAGUAGCAUUUUUGAAUAUUUUCUUAGGUGUUGUAGUGACCAAUUAACCUUAUCAACCUCUAGCAGUAACUACAAUAGCCAAAUAGAAGACAAAAAUGCCAUUACUUCUUCUGUUGGUUUAUUUCCCACAACUUCACCAUACUUCUAUUCUGAUGCCAAUUUUGCUUAUAAUGAGUGUUUAUCGAGAAUAUCUGAAAUCUAGAACUAGGCGCCAAAAAUAUAGAGAUUAGCAUAAAUGUGGUGAGGAUUGUCUAGUUACGAAUUUGGGACUGGUGUGGCCUAAUUCAAGGUUUGCUUGUGGAUGAUGGUACCUUGUAAACAACUUAAUUUACUUGUGAAUCUGAUAUGUUUGUUGAUAAUUGAAGAAGCAGAUAAGUGGUAGGAUUUAGAAAUAUUAGAAGUGGAAUGCAUGGACUAGUAAAACCGUAUGGUUUAUUACAUUGAUGGUUAGUACAACACUUAAGUCUUAGUGUUGCCACACAUACAUGGUGAGGCACUAAUGCCUAUUUAUAGCUGGAGUCACCGCCUUGAUUUUGGCGGUUUAUUAUAUGAUACAAUUGGAUCAUUCUAGAGUUUAGAAACAUCAAAAUAGUCUAUGUGCUUUCUAUAAUAGUGUAGAUUUUAAAAGAUAAUUCUAGAAAUUUGCAUCAAUUCUUAACAAUGUUUAACCUCUUACAUUUUCCUUCAAUGUAUACAUCUUAGCAAGCUAUCUCUAUGGUGGAGAUUUUGUAUGAUAAUUCGAUUAGCUCAUUAAGUUAAUUCAAUCAUGUUUCUGGGAAAUAACUUUUUGGUAUUUAAAUUAUUUCUGUAGCAUAGUCUUUAGGUUGAUUCUACUGCUUAAAUGAAAAUAUUCUGUCUGUGCUUUUUCCUUGCUUCAACUUGGGUGUGUGUUAAAAGCUUGCUCCUGUGGAUGUUGACAUGGCAAGGUUCUUGCUAACAAUCAGAAAUGUUUAUGUGCUCUUAUUUUAAAUGGUUGAACUCACUGGACAAGUUUUUGAAGUAAUAAAGUAAGAAACAAUUUUUUUAAAAAGGAUAUAAUUCUUGAAGAAGUCAAUUUAAUGUGAAGCUUAAAGAUUAGGAGGAGUGAUUUCAUUUGAUUAGCUCAUAGUUCUGAGUUUAUCUAAUGCUGGUUAUAGGUAUUAUGAUUACAUUUACUUGUAUAGACUGACUAAUUUAUUUCCUAUAUACAUUAGACCCCCAAAGUAUAAGCAAGAUAUCACACACACAGAAAUGGGGAUGAUGAGAAGAAAAAGAAUAUUGUUUUUGUUUCUAAUGACCAGAUGAGGAAUUGGGUGAAUGAGAUAGAACAUUAUGCUAUUCUGGUCAACAUACUGGUCUGGUCAAAUCUAAAAUCUUGUAGGCCACCUUUGAUCUGGGGUCUGUUAUGAUCGUGAAAGAUUAGCAAACCCUAACAUUGGUAGUUGCUUUGUUUCUUUGUUGGUUGUAUGUUUCUGGCUUCUUUUGAUAUGAAAAUAUUAUUUUUUGCAAGAGUUAAUCGCUUUAAUAUUUUUUUUCAGUAACACCUAGCAAAUUGAAAUGAGAGAGUUCUGCUUUGAAUUAUCUAUUUGGUUGGCAGUAAUUAGUAUGUCUAUGAAAUUUAACUUUCUCUGUUUUCCUUGGACUUCAUGGCAUAAGAAAAGUUCACAUAGGCGGUUAAAAAGGCAUAAAGCCACAUAAAAAUUAACUUGAACUCUUUGGCAUUUAAUUUAUCUUCUUUUCUACUUUCAGUACUCUAUGAAGACCCGGAACUUUAAAAUUAGAGCCACAUGGAAAUUUCAUCAUCCUAGAGACCAAGUUGGGAACUGAGAUCGCUGGAAGAGUUGCCUUAAGCAUUUUCACUGUGGUGUGAGAGUGUUGGCGGUUCACAGUCAAUGAUGUCAUGCUCAUAUCAUGGUCACUUCGGGUAAUUAACUUCAAAUAUUUUCAUUUUCUAUUUGCUUAUAUAUAGUUUCAUGAGAAUUUCUCAAAACUUAUGAAAAAGAUGGGAGUGUUUAGGUCACGGGUUCUUAAAUUAAGGUCUUGUUUUCUAGUUGUCGGUAUGUUUGGAUUGACAGAACAUAACAGAGCAGAACGAAUUGAAAUAUAAUGGAACAGAUAGAGCGGAAUGAAAUGGAAUAAAAAUCUCAUCCCAUUGUUUGGGUAUUUUAUGAUAACACGAAACAAAAUCACCACUCCCUUAUUUGGAUAAUGGACGGAGCGGAAUGAGUUAUAACUUUUUUAUUCCUAUAUUACCUUUCUUUAAAUAAUAAAAUUCUCAUUAAAUUAUUAAAAUGAUUAACAAAAUAAUUUUUUAGAGGAAUUAACAAAAUCAUUAUCCUUGCUAAACUCUCAUUAUAUCUAUUUACUCAAAUUAAAUUAUAUCCUCAUCAUUUAUCUACAGUAAACUAUACUAGUAUAUGCCAAUAUUUUUUUAUAAAACGUACUGAACAUAAUAGAACACUAUCGAAAAAAGUAAACGAAAAAUAAAAGAAUGCAACAGUUGGAAAAAAAAAUAGUUUGUUGACAAAUAAAAGAAUAUGUAUACAUUAGUAUUAAUAAUUAAAUAUGAACAGUAUCAUUAUAUUACCUUUCGUAAGCUGUAAUGUUUUAUUUUUGCUAGAUAUGUUAAAAUAAUGUUGGAACUUGGUUGUUUGUGUGAGGGGAGAGAGUAGAGACUCACGGAGAGAGAGUGGGAGAGAGUGGGAGAGACUAUUAAGUUAAGGGCUAGAAAUCUAGAAUUGUAAAUUGAUAAUUUUUAUAAGUGUAAAAUCUUGAUUUCAUCCCAUACCUUCCAAAUUGAGGGAAGCAAAAUGAUGGAAACUAAUCUCAUCUCAUUUCCAUCUCAUCCCACCUUUUCAUAACAUAUCCAAACAAUAGAACAUAAAAAUAUUUCACUCCAUCUCAUCUCACCCCACUCCCUGCCACCAAUCCAAAUAUAGCCUAAUGAUGGCAUAGUGUAUAUUUGACUGUGGAUAAAUGAUGAAGAUAUAAACUAAUUAGAGUAAAUAGAUAUGAUGAGAUUUUAGCAAGGUAAUUAUUUUGUUAAUUAUUUUUGUAGUUUAAUGAUAAUCUUUUAUUUUAAAGCAAAGGUAAUGUAGGAAUUAAAAAGUUAUAACUCAUUCCGCUCCAUCCAUUAUCCAAAAAGGGGCGUGGUAACUUUAAUUUGUUAUGUUCCAUCAUUAAAUACCCAAACAAUGGGAUGAGAUUUUUAUUCCAUUCUGUUCUGCUCCAUUAUAUUUCAUUACGUUCCGCUCCGUUAUGUUUCAUCAAUCCAGCCUAAAUGUUUGCAUAGAUUAACACAUCACGAUAGCAAAAUAACAAUAUAAGGAACAAUGGCUGAAAAUGGUGGGUGGAUGGUUGACCAAAAAUAUGUAUACUGCAUGUUUGCACAAACUAUAUAUUAAUUAAUCAGGUUCUAGUACUUUUUGAGAUAAAUAUGUUGAGAUUGAUACUUUGAGACACUAUUACAACACUAGUAGCAGAUUAGGUAGACCAUCACAACACGUUCAACAGAGGAAUAUGUAGCAGCAAAUGCUAGGAUAAGCUAACUUCAAUUUUAGAAUUGAGAACUUAAUUUUCAAGUAUACACUAUUUGUUCCCCUUCUUCAUGUAACUUUUGUCAUGGACAUGAUUAAAGUUGUAUAGUGCAAUUUCUCAAACUCAAUGGCUUGUGAAAUCUUGUGUGCAAACCUUGAGAAUAAUUCAUCCAUGAUACCUUUGCCAAAUGCGGCAGAGUAAAGUGGUUCCACGACGGAUCUGAGGGUCUUGGAAAUUAACUCUCCUUUAAUUUUGGUAUCCAUGUCAUGUGGAAGGUGUCCAUCCAAACUUAUUUGGAUAGUUUUCAGUGUUUGAAGGGUAAAAGAUCCUUCUGCCUCAAUUAUUUGUUUGACUUCCUCCACAGUAGGAAUAUAUAUAGGCAUAUUAAAGCAAUCUAAUUUAGUCUCUUCAAGCAAACCCUGCAUUUAUAUUAAUUUAUAGGGAACAAUAUUAGUUACUACCAAAUAGGAAUAACAUGUUAUAAACUACAGAAAAACAUUACAUUCCAGUUAGUUUCUUGAAAAUCUAGUAAUAAUGGUAAUCAAAAUUGUAUUCGUUGCAUACCUCCAAGACCAUGUCCUUCAGUACCAACUCAAUUAAGUCCUGCGUAGUACCCUUUUCAAAUGCAGCAUUUUCUCUUCCCAGUAAAGAUAGUACCAUACUUCCAUCAAGUGUUAGUUCGUUCGAACGUGAUCGAAGAAAUAGAUUGAAAUCUCUUUGGAAUUGCUCAAAAUAUGCUUUAUACACUAUUUUAGGACUUUUGAUUGUUAAAUAAAUAUGACCCUUGUUCAGUGGUUCUGCCCCUUUAGUCAAUUCUUCUGGAGACUGUUCCGGAAAAAGCAAUAGACACACACAAAUGAUAUUAUUUUGUGCUUUGCUUCACAAACACAACUUUAACAACUUUAAUAUAUAUAUUAAUAAAUACCUGCGAGAGCCAAUGAAGACUAUUCGAAGAAUGAAAGAAAUCGAUGUAAUUAUUAGGAAAGAGCCUCCCAUAGAAGUUCCCUGGAGUUGCAUUUAUAAAGCAUGCUCCAGCUUUGUCUCCCCUAUCUUGUAUCUUUUGGUAGAAAUCAGGAAGUAACUUGAAGAUACCAUUAAAAUCGUUUCCAAAAAGAUCACUAAGAUAAACUUGGAGUAUGGGCACCUCUUGCUUUGAGCCCAAUCUAGUUGUGUUGAUGACGCUCAUUAUAUCGGACACGACCAGAAGUGAAUUUGGUCCUGAAGAGCAUCCUAAAUCUGCCACUUUCAAAUUACUUUUAAAAGUGGUGUGAUGCAACAAUGUCUUAAUACUUUCUUCUAGUAUUGACUUCAUUUCAAAUAACACUUUUCUCUGCAAUAAAAAAAACUUGGUUACAACAAUGACGACGCCAACAAUAAUAAGCCAAAUGUUAUCCCAUAAUCUUAGGGACAGCUGUGAUAUAAAAAAUUCAAAAUGAUGAUCUGUAGGUUAUUAGCUGAAUCUGUUUUAUUUUGGCAUUCCUUGAGAUUUUCUCUAUGGUGUUAUGAUGUUAUAGGGAUGCCAUUUUAGAAACUGAGGUUUAUUUUGAAAUUUUUUGGGGUGGUGUUUUGGAUGAGAUUUUAUUGUAUAAGGUUGUAUAUCCGUCAUGAGAAUGGUUGUUUCUCAUGUUCUCUUAAUUUUAUGAAUAUAACUCUUGCUUUAAAAAGAAUUAUUUUUCAAUAAAAAAUUAUAUUUUCUAUAAUUUUUUUACCAGAAGUUCGAGGGAGAGUAGAAGUAGUAACAAGAAGAGAAUGCAUACAAUGGAAAAGUUCAAGGGAGCAUAUGAUUAUUGAGUAGGCAGCUGAGGUUCUUUCUCCCUUGAGAAAUUAAUCCGGUAAGUUAAAUAUUAAUUCGAUCUCUUUACUUACUAUUGACACCAAAAUAUUGGCUGAUGCAGAAUGGUUGUAAACUAAUUUAAUCGAGUCAAGGUUAGCUCAGAGCAGACAAGUUUAUUUUUUAUAUGCUAAAUAAUGAUAUUAAUGUGGAGCACAAGGGGUGCCCCAUCCGAUACAAAGGAAAAACAAAAGUCUAAAUAACAAGAAACAUCCUACAGCGUUCAAAUGAAGUAAAAAUCACAUACUCUAUAAAACUGACACAUUUCAACGGGCUUUGCCAACAAAUGAGAAG